UACGGAGGGUGCAAGCGUUAUCCGGAUUCACUGGGUUUAAAGGGUGCGUAGGCGGGCAGGUAAGUCAGUGGUGAAAUCUUCGAGCUUAACUCGGAAACUGCCUUUGAUACUAUCUGUCUUGAAUAUGGUGGAGGUAAGCGGAAUAUGUCAUGUAGCGGUGAAAUGCUUAGAGAUGACAUAGAACACCUAUUGCGAAGGCAGGUUACUACUAAUGGAUUGACGCUGAUGGACGAAAGCGUGGGUAGC
rnacentral:rRNA from 1 species